AGUUUAUAUAGUUUAAAAUAAAACAUUAUAUUUUCACUAUAAAAAUAAAGAAAAUUUUUCUUUUAUAAAUU
rnacentral:tRNA from 1 species